rnacentral:rRNA from 1 species
AUGUCUGCUAAAUAUCAAAAUUUCUGUGUCACUUAUUUUGUAGUGUGCAUCCAAUUUAGAACUUUAUGUAUCAGGUUGAUUUGGUCAUUGAUCUUAUUUAGUUUUAUUCAUGUUGCUUGGAGUAAUAUUUUGGCACAAAAACCUGUCCAUUUCAAUCAUUCUCUUGUUUAUAUUAUUCAUGUAGAAGGAAUUAUUUUCUUACUUUAUUUGUACAUUCAUUCUGAUUUUCUAACAGUACUAGACCUUUUUUUUUCAAGUAGCUGUUCUUCCAUUCAGAUCCAUAAUAAGAUUCUGAAAAGCUAG